rnacentral:tRNA from 1 species
GGAAGCGUGCCCGACUGUUUAAGGAUUACUUUGAUAGAGUAAACUACAGAGGUUAAAGCCCUCUCACUUCC